GAUAAACGCUGGCGGCGUGCUUCAGGCAUGCAAGUCGAACGAGUGCACACCUUCGGGUGUGUUACUAGUGGCGGACGGGUGAGUAACACGUAAGUAACCUGCCCGGAAGUGGGGAAUAACUGACCGAAAGGUUGGCUAAUACCGCAUGUGAUGGCCCUUCCCUGGAGGGGUCAUUAAAGGCGUAAGUCGCUUCCGGAGGGGCUUGCGGCCGAUUAGCUAGUUGGUGGGGUAAUGGCCUACCAAGGCGACGAUCGGUAGCUGGUCUGAGAGGACGGACAGCCACACGGGGACUGAGAUACGGCCCCGACUCCUACGGGAGGCAGCAGCUAGGAAUCUUGGGAAUGGGCGAAAGCCUGACCCAGCAACGCCGCGUGGGCGAUGAAGGCCUUAGGGUCGUAAAGCCCUUUUGCAGGGGAAGAUAAUGACGGUACCCUGCGAAUAAGCCACGGCUAACUACGUGCCAGCAGCCGCGGUAAUACGUAGGUGGCAAGCGUUGUCCGGAUUUACUGGGCGUAAAGGGCGUGC
rnacentral:rRNA from 1 species